rnacentral:misc_RNA from 1 species
GAAAUGUGAUAAGUAAUGUGAAUUGCAGAAUUCAGUGAAUCAUCGAAUCUUUGAACGCACAUUGCGCCCGCCAGCACUCUGGCGGGCAUGCCUGUUCGAGCGUCAUUUCAACCCUCAGAACCCCUUGCGGGAUCUGGCGUUGGGGAUUGGCAUCCAGCCAGCCCCGAAAUCUAGUGGCGGUCCCUCCGCGACCUCCCCUGUGCAGUAGCGAUACCUCGCAGCGGGACAGCGGUCUGACCACGCCGUAAAACCCCCAACUUCUCAAGGUUGACCUCGAAUCAGGUAGGAAUACCCGCUAAACUUAAGC